rnacentral:rRNA from 1 species
GAUGAACGCUGGCGGCGUGCCUAAUACAUGCAAGUCGAACGAAACUUCUUUAUCACCGAGUGCUUGCACUCACCGAUAAAGAGUUGAGUGGCGAACGGGUGAGUAACACGUGGGCAACCUGCCCAAAAGAGGGGGAUAACACUUGGAAACAGGUGCUAAUACCGCAUAACCAUAGUUACCGCAUGGUAACUAUGUAAAAGGUGGCUAUACUACCACUUUUGGAUGGGCCCGCGGCGCAUUAGCUAGUUGGUAGGGUAAAGGCUUACCAAGGCAAUGAUGCGUAGCCGAAUUGAGAGGUUGAUCGGCCACAUUGGGACUGAGACACGGCCCAAACUCCUACGGGAGGCAGCAGUAGGGAAUCUUCCACAAUGGGCGAAAGCCUGAUGGAGCAACGCCGCGUGGGUGAAGAAGGUCUUCGGAUCGUAAAACCCUGUUGUUAGAGAAGAAAGUGCGUGAGAGUAACUGUUCACGUUUCGACGGUAUCUAACCAGAAAGCCACGGCUAACUACGU